rnacentral:rRNA from 1 species
UACGGGGGGGGCAAGCGUUGUUCGGAAUUACUGGGCGUAAAGGGCUCGUAGGCGGCCCUCUCAGUCGGAUGUGAAAUCCCUCAGCUUAACUGGGGAACUGCGUCUGAUACUGGAUGGCUUGGAUUCGGGAGAGGAAUGCGGAAUUCCAGGUGUAGCGGUGAAAUGCGUAGAUAUCUGGAGGAACACCGGUGGCGAAGGCGGCAUUCUGGACCGACAUUGACGCUGAGGAGCGAAAGCCAGGGGAGCAAACGGG